rnacentral:lncRNA from 1 species
UGGUGAGGAUGGAAUUUUUUCAUUGCUAUCGUGAAAAUAUACUGCUUGACAAGAAGAGAACUGCAUAUAUAGAUGCAGCUUCUUCUCUAGCAACUGUUAAUUUAAUAGACUACUACUUAUGGUGAAACAAAAAACAAUCCCACUCUGAAGAAAGCACUGAAGACCUAUAACCAGCGGUGAAUUUCUUCCGUAUUGCUCAGUGGAAACAAAAGAAAGCUCAAAUGGGUGAAAUGAAGAACCAAGGAUCAUCUGAGCAAAGACUCAAGGACCAUUUGAACAAAGACAUCCACAUCUAUACCACAGAUGACUUGGCAUCUAUGGAGGAGUGGAGGUGAGCACCACUCUACCAUGUAGAGGAAGCAGCCACUGUGGAGGCUGGGCUUGUGGAGAUUCCUUCUGGAUGCCCUCAGAUCUGUCAUUAAUGGGGACAAAGCAGAAUCAAGGGACUGCUCUAUCUCAUCUACCACUACCAGCUCCACCAUCCAGGGUACUGUUCUUGCCACUGCAUCUAGAAAGAAGAGGAAUGCAAUCUUGCAGUUAGAAAAGGCUGUCUCGCUGAAUAUUUAUUCUCAUUCCUCUACCCAAAACUAAUGAAAA